GGAAGCAUGGUGUAAAGGUGGCACAACACGCUCAUAACGUGUCAGGAGAUGGGUUCAAAUCCCUCUGUUUCUACCA
rnacentral:tRNA from 1 species